rnacentral:rRNA from 1 species
UCAAAAAAACUUUUCUUAUUUGUCCUUUUAUCUUCCCAUUCAUCUCCACUAUACCCCUCGUCUUGUAAUUCCUUCCAUUCGACCAAAGAAUUCUCUAUAAUCUUUCCCUAUAAUCUCUCCCUAAUAAUAAAGCACGGAUUGGGUCUCCGGGUUCACCGUCGCAGUGUUUUUGCAUAA